rnacentral:rRNA from 1 species
CGCGUAGGCGGCCUUAAAAGUCUCACGUGAAAGUCCCGCUUUCAAGGUGGGAAUUGCGUGGGAAACUGAAGGGCUUGAGUGCGGAAGAGGCAAGUGGAAUUCCCAGUGUAGCGGUGAAAUGCGUAGAGAUUGGGAGGAACACCAGUGGCGAAGGCGACUUGCUGGGCCGUAACUGACGCUGAGGCGCGAAAGCGUGGGGAGCGAACA